UGGGGAAUAUUGGACAAUGGGCGCAAGCCUGAUCCAGCCAUGCCGCGUGAGUGAUGAAGGCCCUAGGGUUGUAAAGCUCUUUCUCCGGUGAAGAUAAUGACGGUAACCGGAGAAGAAGCCCCGGCUAACUUCGUGCCAGCAGCCGCGGUAAUACGAGGGGGGCUAGCGUUGUUCGGAUUUACUGGGCGUAAAGCGCACGUAGGCGGACUAUUAAGUCAGGGGUGAAAUCCCGGGGCUCAACCCCGGAACUGCCUUUGAUACUGGUAGUCUUGAGUUCGAGAGAGGUGAGUGAAAGUCCGAGUGUAGAGGUGAAAUUCGUAAAUAUUCGGAGGAACACCAGUGGCGAAGGCGGCUCACUGGCUCGAUACUGACGCUGAGGUGCGAAAGCGGGGGGAGCAAACAGG
rnacentral:rRNA from 1 species